AACGAACGCUGGCGGCAGGCCUAACACAUGCAAGUCGAGCGCCCUUUCGGGGGAGCGGCGGACGGGUGAGUAACGCGUGGGAAUAUGCCCUUCUCUACGGAAUAGCCUCGGGAAACUGAGAGUAAUACCGUAUACGCCCUGUGGGGGAAAGAUUUAUCGGGGAAGGAUUAGCCCGCGUUGGAUUAGGUAGUUGGUGGGGUAAUGGCCUACCAAGCCGACGAUCCAUAGCUGGUUUGAGAGGAUGAUCAGCCACACUGGGACUGAGACACGGCCCAGACUCCUACGGGAGGCAGCAGUGGGGAAUCUUAGACAAUGGGGGCAACCCUGAUCUAGCCAUGCCGCGUGAGUGAUGAAGGCCUUAGGGUGGUAAAGCUCUUUCAGCUGGGAAGAUAAUGACGGUACCAGCAGAAGAAGCCCCGGCUAACUCCGU
rnacentral:rRNA from 1 species